rnacentral:rRNA from 1 species
UUGGAGGGCAAGUCUGGUGCCAGCAGCCGCGGUAAUUCCAGCUCCAAUAGCGUAUAUUAAAGUUGUUGCAGUUAAAAAGCCCGUAGUUGAACUUCGGGACCGGUGGGUUGGUCGUGCCUCCGGUACGUACUGGCCCUACCAGUUCCUCCCUUCUGACGAACCACGAUGUCAUUAAUUUGGUGUCGUGGGGAAUCAGGACUGUUACUUUGAAAAAAUUAGAGUGUUUAAAGCAGGCUAAAGCUUGAAUAGAUUAGCAUGGAAUAACGAAAUAGGACGUUUGAUCUUAUUUUGUUGGUUUCUAAGAUCGACGUAAUGAUUAAUAGGGAUAGUUGGGGGCAUUAGUAUUCAAUUGUCAGAGGUGAAAUUCUUGGAUUUAUUGAAGACUAACUACUGCGAAAGCAUUUGCCAAGGAUGUUUUCAUUAAUCAAGAACGAAAGUUAGGGGAUCGAAGACGAUCAGAUACCGUCGUAGUCUUAACCAUAAACUAUGCCGACUAGGGAUCGGAUGAUGUUAAUUUUAUAAUGACUCAUUCGGCGCCUUACGGGAAAC